rnacentral:lncRNA from 1 species
AAUGAUGACAAAGAGUUUUGAGUAUAAGUUAUGAAUAAUUCAAAUUCAAAGAGUUUUAAUGAGGAUUAAAUUAAUUUUAGAAGACAAGUCUAGCCUACAGAUUAAUUUAGAGAAGAAAGGCUAAAAAAUAGUAUUUGGUAUGCUUGGCACACCAGCUGAGUCAACUCAAUGAAAAUCUAUGUCAACCUAGUCUGAGAAUACAUCAAAAGAUAGAAAAUAAUAUUUCAGAGCACU